rnacentral:lncRNA from 1 species
AUGAUUUACUUAUAUUAUAAAGUUUUGUUUUUAGCUCAAUGAAUAAUUGAGGAGAUGAUGGAAUUGGUGCUAUAUAUAUACAAGCAAUGUAAAUAGGAAUAUAUGUACCAAAUAUGUCUUGGUGCAACUUUUAGGUUACUAAAGUUAUGCAAACUUUAUAUAUGUGAUGUUGAAGUUAAAAUGUUCGAUAUAGCUCUUUAUGGAAGAAGGCUUCAAGCAAGCGGUAAAGUAGUUUGUUCACUACAUUGAGUUUAAAAUAUUUAUGAUGUCGGGUUUUCAACGUCUCGUGGAUUUAGCAAAAAUAAUGUUUCGAUGAGAUCAUUCAAUCUAAGUUAUAGUCGAUUUGGGAAUUUCACGCCAUUAGCCUUAAUUAAUUCAUGUUGAUUUGUAGAGUUUAAUAGUUGUUGAAGGGACACAAUCGACAACACCUUGAUAAUAAGAGUUUGAGGGUGUCAAAGGGCCUCAGUUAAGGUUCACUUCCAUAGUGCAAGUGGGGUCGGGGGAGAAGCUAAUAUUGCUAAUAUUGCUACACCAAAACUUAUGUUUUCAGUCGUAGUUAAUCAAUGCUAAUAUUGCUACACCAAAGAAUAAGCCACCUUGGAUAUAAACCUAAUGCACGAUCUUUGUAUAUACAACCCGCGUAGUUGUAUUCUAUGCAUAUAAUCCGUGACUAAAAGCAACUCUCUAGCGAGGUCAUAAACGUUGCCAAAUCUUAACCGCCAACUAAACUACAUGAAUACCUAUGUUGCUAUUGUCAUAUUUUUAAAACAUGGGGUUGGAAGCUUUAGGUGUCAUGAAAAGGAGCAUUGACACAUUGAAGACAAAAAAAGUAAAAGAUCAACAAGCGAUAUUACAUGCCUUCUUAAUUAUGGUUCUAGAGAAUAGAAAAGGAUGAUAAUGAGCUUGGAGGCCGUUCUACCAUAAAAUUUGAUUGGGUGGUCACUAGCUAGAGAUCGAUAAAUGAUCAUUCCAAGUAUUGUCGUUUUCCAAUUUGUUUUAAAGAUGUUGUCUAAUUUAAUUGUAACGGAUAAUAUACAUGAACUUGAUCAAUUUUGUGAUAGCUCUUUGAUUUGAGAGUUGAUAUGAUUUGGACAUGUAAAGCUAGAUGCAUGUAAUGUGAAUAAAAAGAUAUGAAGGUCG